GCUUGAUUUAGAAUACAUUGCCAGCAGCGACUGCUUCUUUUUCUGUUGUGGAGGAACUCUGGCUGUAUGCUCUUAGUUUACAGACAGGAAUCUCCUAGUAUUCUCGGAAGUCUACUGGGGCUUCUCGAAGUCAACGUGUGAAAAUGAAGACAUUUUCUGAAACAAAAAAUAUUUCUAAUUUAAAGCCUGAUCUCAGUGAUUUUAGGCGCUGGGAGUUUAGACAUCUGAUUAAAACCCCUUGGGUCAGAUCCCACUCCUGGAGGGAAGAAUGAAGCGCUUCAGUGUUCUGUGAGCUGACAGUUCUUAAGAAGGCAUCAGCACACGUCCAUAUGAAGCAAUCAAACUAUAAAGAGAAUGAAUCCGGACUGAUAAUGUCUUAAAAAAAAAAAAAAAAAAGGAAAGAAAGAAAGAAAAUGGAAGAAAAGUACACCCCAUCAUUUUCCAACUGAAAUGCCUGCUGUUUUCAGACUCACAGGGUUGUGGAUGCAAAGACUUCUUUGGGGCUGUGGACUGUCACCAAUGGGCCACCUAGAGGGGCUGCGAGGCUCCAACAUGGGGAAGCUGAAGUUUGGCUGCAGAGCUGAGGGAGUUUGGCUGGUCAAGAGAUGUUGGGGGCCAAGUCAUGCCGCUGGGUGACAGCAGUGUCUAUGAAGAACCAGCAAGAUGAUCCCUGCAGGCAGCACUCACUGCUUUUGGUGUGAAAUGCCUUAAAAACUCUGCCCAGUCCAGCCUGGAGCUGGCAGAGGCAGCUGGCUACCUCAAGCUCUUGUCCGUCGUACAUCCCGGCAUCCUUUGCUGUUGGUUGGAAUAGUUUCUGUCUAUAGGACAUUAAUGAUCCCAAGGCUGCUUUAAGAAGUUUCUCUAUUUUACGGGAGGUGAUUGAGGACUGCCAAUCACGAAGCUGCCAGUCCCUGCUCAGCCUAAAGUCUGUUCUGAUUACGGGGGAAUCUCUCAUGAGAACCAGCGCCCUGCAUCGCUUAAGGGUUUCUCCCACUACUGGAGACACUUGGUGAGUGUGGAGGGGACCUAUGCAGUGGGAAUUCCCUGCUAAUGGUGGGAGCAUCAUCCCCAGGGAGGAGGCCGUUCUAACAGGCUGUUCUGAGAGUCUCAAGGCUAGAUUUCUCUCCAGUAGCUUCCUCUGUUUACACACCUAAGGUCACAGGGCCUGACUUGCCAUGGUUUCUCUCUGUUGUCCUUCAUACUGGUGAGUCCACCAUUGCUGGGGAGGAAUGCUUAUGAUGGCUAAAGACUUCCUCCACCCCAAUCCCUGGUAAUCAUCUCCCUUUGGUACCUACCAUUCUUUACAGUCAUCUUUUUUUCUCUCUCUCUUUCUACAAGAUCUCCUCACUGUGUAGCCCAGAGUGGCCCAAAACUCACCCUUCCCCUGUCUCUGCCAAAGUAGCAAAAAUUACAAUGGUGAACCGUGCCAGUUCUGACAGAAAAUUUAAAAAUUUUGUCAUUCUUGUGUGUACGUGAUGCACAUGUGUGAAUGUAGGCAUACACAUGCCGUGGAGUAUGUGUGUAGAGGUCAGACAACAACUGUCGGGAGUCCUUACUCACGUUCUGGGUGUCUCUUUGGAUGCCAGGCUUUCUAGGUAGCGCUCUCUCUUUGUGACGCUCUCAGCUACUGUUCCAGCACCAUGCCUGCCUGCCUGCUGCCAUGCUGCCUACCAUGAUGGUCAUGGACUCACCCUCUGACACUUGUUGGAUGGCGUGAAUGGGCGAGUAAGCAUAUAAGAGCUUCCUGCUGCUCUUGGGUCUUCUCACGUGGCCUGUUGCUGCUUUGUUCUGGGACUGGACUAUCAGAAGCAAACAACAUCUUGACGCAUGACGUUAACCUUACGUAAGACGAUCUCACCAGCCUUCUCGGUGCAGAGAAUUCUUCCCUCUCUACAGCCUGUGUACACUGUGGGAGUAGCAGAAUGAUAUACAGCCAACUGUUACUGAGCACCAGACUGCAGAUACAAUGUAACCAGCCUGCGGUGCUUCCUGUGCCACGAUGGACCAACCACAUCCUCCAGCCGCGGGUGUAGAGUGAUGACGGAGGAUGAUGGAGUUGGUUCCCUGCUGGUGCUCGCGUCCUAUAAAAGCCAAUCCCUUACGAGCUGAUUGCCUUCCAUUAAAUUUGGGGUCGCUGCAUUCAUGCUCGCCUCCUGCUGCACACGGCUUCCUUGCUCUGGAAAGUCAGCCGAGUGCUUCACCCUGUCUAACACGUGUUGAUGUUGUUAGACGAUUCCUCACUCUGUACACACACAGCACAGGGUUAGAGAAAUGACUUUGAACAAAGAGAUGAGGCCAGGUCUUAUGUGCUCAUCUGCUGUGCUGUGCGGAGGCGUGCGCAUGCAAGGCACACGUGCACCACAGAUGACUCAGGAAGCUCUCAGCAUUCCUGAGCUCCCAGAGGCUCUCCCAGAUCUGUCUCUCCCUCUUCCAUCGCUUCCAGGAUCCAUUUUACUAAGAUGCAGUCUCAGUUAAAGACAAGCACCGAGCGAUCCUGAGGUGUGAUGAAUAAUGAAUAUUUAUGUCCUUAAAAGGGUUUUGUUGUUGUUGUUUUUGAGUUUGUCUUUACUACCACAGAAUAAAACAGGAGGCAGACAUUAACUUUUUUGUUUAUACGUACACAGACAAGAAAGCCACAAGUCGACACUGUAUCAUUCUGCUUUUUAUUCAUUGUCUGGAUAAUUUACAAACAUGCAGGUGUCUAUGGUAGAUUCUACCCUACCAUUUAACUACCCUGAUGACACAGAUGUCUGUGUCUGUUUACACAGUGCAGUGGUAUGAAAAAAUUCCUCUACAGCUCCUGCCUAUGAACAGGGAAAGUUAAAUUUCAUACCAAAAGUUUGAGGAGACUUCAAUAAUCACCCUGUUUCUGGUACUAAAAUAACAAAAUCGAUAUUACAAGUUAAAAUAUAAAGGCCUAACAGUUUUUACAAAUAUGCAACAAAUCCACUACUUAGACAUAACAAGUCAAUUCUUUUCAGAUCACCAGUAAGGCACCAUUGGGUUAAAUAUUUUCUCAGCUUUCAGUAAAUAAAAUGCAUAGUGAAAUAGACACAGAACACUGAAUUUUAAUACUGCAAUAUAUUUCCAUAUAAAAUGAUUUGCAAAUGUUAAAAUACUGCAUUGCAUCUUAAAUACACAUAACUGGAAAUAUUAUGGAAAAACAUACAUGUAAGCUUUGAUUUCAGGGAAGAAAAUAGACUUUUUUUUUUUAAAUGAUUUACCAUAGGUUAAGCUAAACCCAGAACUUCUCAAGAGUUUUAAAUGCAAUUGGGUCACUGACUUCCAAAGAUAGGAUGUAGGUGUAUUAAUGAAACAUUCUUUGCAAAAUGCAUUCUAAACCUUCUUUAUUAUGAAUGGCAACUUUGAGCUGUGACCCGUCCCUGACUUAGAAAUGUACCUGAAAACUGAGAUUUAUUUACCAGAACUUGUCCAAUUUUCACUAUCCCUUAAAAAACUGAGACCCACAAUCUUUGAGUCCAACCUUUCUCUUCCAUACACAGCACAAGGAAGGACCAAUUCGACUUUCAGUAAAGUAGGUCAUUGAGCGUCUAUGAAAAGGAUGUUUAUCCUAGUGAAUAUCAGAUCAAAGAAUUCGAAAUACAUUUUAAAAUGUUAGGAAUAAAAAAAUUGUCAAGCUUGUUAACCCUUUUAUUUCUUUGUUCUCAUGGAAGACCGACAAAUGGUGGAGGAGAAGGGAGGAAAACUACUCUCUAAAGAACUAGGUCUGGGCUUUGGCAAGGAAAGUUAUAAAAAUACAAUAUAUUCAAAUCAAUCACUUUAUAAUUUAUUAGACUUUUCAUCUAUUAGAACUCCUAAGUUAUGCUUUUAUAUAAACGAAACAAUCAUUCUAUAAAUAGGAAUGUCUUUCCAUUUUUCUUUGGAUUGAUUUUUUUUUAUUAGCAUCUUUCAGCAACAUGUGACAGCAACAUGUGAGCAAUACGCUGGACCCAAAAUACAAAGUUCAGGUAGGUACACAUAUGUGGCCAUGUGCUUUAAUAGACAAUGGUAACAUUAAACAUGAUUAUAUAAAACAUCAAAAUGGAAAUCUUUUUCCAACUCUACAGCUAGGUUUGAAAGUCCCAGUAAAAUGUUGUAAACAAAGUCAUAUAUAUAAAAAAGGCAAGCCUGGCCCUUUUUGUGAUCCAUCCUUUAGUGGAACUUACUUGCACAGAUCCAAGACAAUGAUUCUCCCAAGAAAUUCAACACCAAUGCUUUCUAGGUUCCACUGGUAAGCUCCUUAAUCUACUUGACCCCAGUCGGUUGUGUAGAGCUCUGCCCAUCAUCAACGCUAUCCUCUUCUCCCAUAGUUCUGAUACAUUCUCUGACUUUCUUCUCCUAUCUUGCCCUACUAGCCUUUCCUGACCUGAGGAAGGAGUUUUCUCUGGGGUGGAGGACUGAAGAGCCACAGAAGAUGCGCAAGGCCAGUGACCAGCAGUGCACAAGCCAGCUGGUUCUAAGCCAGGGAGUACCCACACAGUUUUGUUUUCUUGCAGUGGAGUUUGCAAUCCACUGUAAACGGGACUGUAAACUCUACUAGAUACAUUUCUCACUAAGAUACUUUGAAGAAACACCUGGACAUACAUAUUAAGGACAAAGGCAGAAUAAGGGUCAAAAAUCUAAGGUCUCACUGCCUGCCAAACAUUGUAUCAAGUUCUGACUCCGUCUUGGGACAUCUCCUGAAUUGCUAAAACUCAAUUUGCCUUUUUAGGCACAAGCUGUCCUAACUCCUGUCUUCCAGACCGUCUGACAGUGUGGUGCUGAGGCCGGUGUGGACACUUGAAAUCUGGCAGUGUGCUUGUUCCAAGUACAGAAUGGUUACUCGAGUGUGAGGACUUAGUACCAAAAAUGUAAAUAGCUCAUUAAUAAUACAAGUCGAAGUGAUAUUUCAGAUGCACA